UACAGAGGUCCCAAGCGUUGUUCGGAUUCAUUGGGCGUAAAGGGUGCGUAGGCGGGUCUUUUAAGUCAGGGGUGAAAUCCUGGAGCUCAACUCCAGAACUGCCUUUGAUACUGAAGAUCUUGAGUUCGGGAGAGGUGAGUGGAACUGCGAGUGUAGAGGUGAAAUUCGUAGAUAUUCGCAAGAACACCAGUGGCGAAGGCGGCUCACUGGCCCGAUACUGACGCUGAGGCACGAAAGCGUGGGGAGCAAACAGGG
rnacentral:rRNA from 1 species